rnacentral:rRNA from 1 species
GACGAACGCUGGCGGCGUGCUUAACACAUGCAAGUCGAACGGAAAGGCCCUGCUUUUGUGGGGUGCUCGAGUGGCGAACGGGUGAGUAACACGUGAGUAACCUGCCCUUGACUUUGGGAUAACUUCAGGAAACUGGGGCUAAUACCGGAUAGGAGCUCCUGCUGCAAGGUGGGGGUUGGAAAGUUUCGGCGGUUGGGGAUAGACUCGCGGCUUAUCAGCUUGUGGGUGGGGUAGUGGCUUACCAAGGCUUUGACGGGUAGCCGGCCUGAGCGGGUGACCGGCCCCAUUGGGACUGCGGUACGGCCCAGACUCCUACGGGGGGCAGCAGUGGGGAAUAUUGCACAAUGGGCGGAAGCCUGAUGCAGCAACGCCGCGUGCGGGAUGACGGCCUUCGGGUUGUAAACCGCUUUCGCCUGUGACGAAGCGUGAGUGACGGUAAUGGGUAAAGAAGCACCGGCUAACUACGUG